rnacentral:rRNA from 1 species
GAUGAACGCUGGCGGCGUGCCUAAUACAUGCAAGUCGAACGAAUCUUCUUCGGAAGAUGAGUGGCGAACGGGUGAGUAAUACAUAGGUAACCUGCCCCUGUGCGGGGGAUAACAGGAGGAAACUCCUGCUAAUACCGCAUAGCCAUGAGCACCGCAUGGAGCUCAUGCCAAAUAUCCUUUCGGGGAUAGCGCAGGGAUGGACCUAUGGCGCAUUAGCUGGUUGGCGGGGCAACGGCCCACCAAGGCAACGAUGCGUAGCCGGCCUGAGAGGGCGGACGGCCACAUUGGGACUGAGACACGGCCCAGACUCCUACGGGAGGCAGCAGUAGGGAAUUUUCGGCAAUGGGGGAAACCCUGACCGAGCAACGCCGCGUGAGCGAAGAAGGCCUUCGGGUCGUAAAGCUCUGUUGUAAAGGAAGAACGGCGCAUACAGGAAAUGGUAUGCGAGUGACGGUGCUUUACCAGAAAGCCACGGCUAACUACGUGCCAGCAGCCGCCGUAAAAC